rnacentral:sRNA from 1 species
AAAGGAAUGAAAGGAACCAAAGAAGACACGGGGAGAGCCCAUCCCAGCCGGAGAGACUUAU